AUCAACCAAUGAAAUCGAUCGGACCUCCAAAUGAUCUUAAUAAACGUCAAUCACUCUACACAACGGUAGAUGCCCUCAAGACUCGAAAGUGAAAGGAAGGAAAAGAAGCUAAUUUUCUCUUGAGAAUUUACUAUGAGCAAUCAUAAAGAAUGCAACCGAAGUCGUAUCCUGGUUGAAAUUUGAAGCAAACAUAAAACGGAUCGCUAUGAAAACAACUGGAAGAAAACAAAUGAGGAGUAAGGAUAUUCAAAUGAAAGCAACAGACAGAGCGUGUUUUUAUGGAUUUACUUGUGCACACAUUCAAAAUUUUUUUGCCUUUUUUCUUAAAACUUUGCACGAAAAGUUUGUUUAACAUUUUGUUGUGCAAUCACUAUCUUCGUCGUAUUUUGCUGCUGGUAGACGAGUACUAGUAAGGGUGGAAAAUGAUUAGACAAUAGAUCAAAAAAACAAUUGUUGUGAACGAUCUAUCUGAAAACGAUGUUCAAAAGCAUUCAAAGAAGUCUAUAUGACUUCCUCCAUUUGAAAUGUGUAAGGGAUUAAAACAAACAUUCCUUCAUGAAACAAAACUAAAUGCUGUUGUGUGCAUGUGAUAACGAUUUUGAUUAAAUUUUUAAG